GAGCGAGGGAGCGGAGGCGACUCGGCCGCCAUGUUAGGAGUGCCGGGAGGACUCCACGGACCGGCGCGGAGGUUCAGGGAGCGCGGGAUCCGAGUGGUGGUGCGGUGGGGACGGUGAGGUGGAGAGUUUGGGCCUUCACUUAUUUCUCAUACGGAAGUGAUUUGCAAAGGUCUUAAAAGAAACCGUUAUUGGAAGAGUCUGUCUACACUAUGGAAAGAUGGGAAAUUUCAUUUCCUGCUGAGGGUGUCUCAAGGGUUAAAGAAAAUGCUGUUAUCUGUGCUUCCCCCACCCACUUCUCCCUUUUGCACUUUAUUCUGAGAACAGAAUUAACUGUGGCUUUGGGGGGUUAGUGGAGGUAUGCACUAUAUCUCUAUUAGGACGUAAUAAAAUUAGAGCAGAUAGUUUCUCCUAUUAAAAAAAAAAAGGCUAGUCAGAGUGAUUUAAAAUGACCAAAACAGGCAGAAACAGUCUUUCACGUGUAUGCAGAUGAUAACUGUAAAAACAGAAUUUGAAAGACUCAACAUAUGUCAUGUUCCUGGGAACAAGCCACAAGAUAAGUCACUUUGUUUCAUUCUUACACAAAGGUAAAUUGUUGGUGUCAUUUAUCCAUGAAUACAACCAUGUACAAGGCUCAUACAAAUAGUAUGUUAUUCAGAAACACUUUUGCAAAUACUGAUGGUAAGUAGUUGGAAAGAAGCAAAUGCUUACUUUUUUUUUUCUGACCUCUAGAAAUGUUUUAAGCUAAUAAAUCUUGUGCAUUUUAUAAGACAGUUAUGUAAGCAACAGCCUUAGUUUGAGUUACUGUGAAAGGCCAGUAUAUAGUGGGGAAAGGAACAGAAUGCUCAAAAAUCUUAUGUGUGAAAAAUAAGAGUGAUAUCUUUUUAAGUUUAAAGUUGUUCAUCUGAACAUCUGGCCAUACAUGAAACGAAUGUAUUUAGUAUCCUUAAA